rnacentral:lncRNA from 1 species
GGGGGUCUACCCAGAGAGAUCUGUGAAUUCUCUGUAAUCCAUGAGUGCAUAUUCCAGGCUGUGUGCCCUUACCUAUGUCAGUCAGCUGCCACCUGCUCAGAUGGAUGGAGACCAGCAGCCUCCUCCCUGAUUGGGAAGUUGGACCACAGGGAGGGAAGACGACUUCUUCCCACAAGAAGGUCCCCUUCUGCUCGAGUGGACUGGAGCCCUGAGCUUAUUCCUCAAGGAAAUUUUCUCUCUGGAAGAAAUCCUAUCAGACUCAGACAAAAGCAUUGCUGUAGCAACCAGCCGUGAGCAAGUGAAACCUGGCCGCACCGUGUCUUUGGAUGCAGAGAGCAGUGCUCACCUUCUGUUCCCGGUUUCUGUGCCACAUCUGCCUGCAAGAACCUGCUUGGCCAUUCUGAUACACAUGCAAACCUGAGAGUAUGGGGAAGUUAUCACCCAAAGGACAAUACUGGAUCAAUGGGAGCCGACGCUUGUAGAUUAAUACUUCCCUCUUCCACCCUGCAGGCUGCCAAGUCUGAGAUGCAUUCUACAGGGGCUUCAUAGCCUUCUAAGUAGGACUGAGCUCUGGUUGCCCACAGUGACGAUCCGAUAAAGUAACCAUGGAUUGGCUUCUCCUUCUUCCUUCUUUCAGCCUUCACAGACCCCAAAUGUCCC